UGGGGCUCCUCGCCCUGGUCUAGGCCAGGGGGGCACCGGGGAGCCCAGAACUGCCAGCCCAACCGCCCCCCAGCACCCUCAAAGGCUCGUGAGCUGAAGCCCUGGCUGACCACCUCUUCCAGGAAAACGGCCCCUGGCCCAUCACCCCCACUUGGGACCUGUCCUCUCCGGGGCCUGAGGCCACUCUCCCUGGAGCCCGGGGACCGGCUGCAGCAGACACUCACCUCUCAGAGGCCCUGAGCGCCGCGACGCACCUACCUCACUGCCCGUCACCCCCUUGGCACCCCCCACCCCCCGAGGAGGGGCCCAGGCGCACCCAGGCCUGCUCCGUCCACCGCACGCGGCCUAGUAAACGGGACUCCCAGGCGGCCUGUGGUGGUCCUCCUUCCCCAGAUGCCAGGCUCUGGGGAAUGGGGAGGGAUGGGAGUCAGGCCCCAGGUGGGCCUGAGGGCUCAGAGUGCGGGAGGUCUAGGCCGGAGGGGGCUGUGUCUGCUGGCCUGUCCCCGCCUAGCCUCCCGGGCCUCUGGGCUCUUCAUCCUGUUUUCUCCGUGACGGCUCCAUACCUGGUGGUAAGGACGCAGCGGCGAGAAAAGACCCUCCAACAGGGGGUCCCCGCUCUGUGGCGCUCAGCAAGAAGCAGGACGGUUAAGGUUCAGACCUUGGUUCUGCACCUCCGCUCCCCUGUGCCACACUUACCCCAUCUGUGCAAUGGGACGAUAGUACCACCACUUCUCAUGUCCUUCUAAGGAGCAAAUAAAAGGGUGUGGUUAUGGAGGUUACCCCAAGUCUGGCGGCAGUAAAAGCUCCAUGAAGGUUAGCUUUGGUCAUUUUUUGAUGGCGGUGGACAAUCAGAUUCCCCUGGAAAUCGGGGAGACCUUCCAGGAGGAGGUGACACGGCAGACGGAUGAGCAGGAGAUAACCUCGGGGAAGUAAGGGUGUUGCAGGUGGGAAGGGUGGAGAGGAGGGCAGAGCUUAGCCCGGAGCUCUAGCUCCUCUGCCCCAGCCUCGGUGUGUCUCCCAGACCCCAUGCCGAGUCCACUUCCUCUUGGCCACAACCUUGUGGGGGCCUGGGGACAAAGCUCCCCUCUGGCCCCACACACUGCUCCCUGGCCUGCCCAGGUCCCAGGAGCCAUCAGGGUGGGAGGCACCAGGUGAGGCCGAAGGCUGGUAGGGAGGAGGCGGGCCUCAGCCUGAGCCUGUCUCUCAGCAUCUGCCUUCUCCAGCCUCAGGAGAUGCCUGGCCCAGUCUGGUGCCACAAAUACUGCCAAGGGCAGCUCUUCUCUCCACCCUGGCCCACUCUGCUGGGCACCUGGGGUGGACCAACUCUGGUCCUCACCUUCAAGGAGGGGCGAUGGUUGCCGGGCUGUGGAGGGGACUGUGGCCAGAAGGUACAAUCUGCUGGAGGAACGAGGCAAUUGGGGAAGGCUUCCUGGAGGAGGGCCCUGGAGCGGUCAAGGGAACAGUGUGUGCAAAGGCCGGGGGUGGGAGUCAGGGCCGCCCCCUACGUGGGGCUGUGAAGACGGUGGUGGGGGCUGGGCCAGAUGCCCGAGCUGGUGGCAGGCUGGUGGCAGGCAGCUGGAUUUGGCAGGGGCGGGUGGAGAGAAGGAGGGAACUGGGGUCUGGGGUUCAGCUGGGUGCUGGGGCGAGGGGGCCCCGUCACCUCAGCUCCAUCCUGGAUGGGCCUGCAGCUGAUGUUUGCUGAGCACACGCUGUGUGGGGUCCGGGCCGUACCCUCUUGCUGCCCACAACCCCCUCGGAGGGAGGUGCGGUCAUCGUGGCCAUUUUUCAGAUGGGAAAACAGGCUCGGAAGAGCUAAGCAGCGUGCCCAGGGCCUGGGGCCAGAAGCAGUUCCUUCUGCCUGAGGCCACUCACUGCAGACACCGCCCCCUGCCCCCCGCCCCCCACGGCAGUCAGAGGCCCCGCCCUUGGCUGGGGGUCCAGCCCCACCCUUGCCCUUGGGGGCGGCACCACCCUGUUGGGCUCAGGCCCCCUCCCCACUGUCCCGAGCAGCACCUCCCACGCCCACGUGCCAGCUGCUUCAGUGCCCUUUGCAGCCAGGGUCUGGCUCCACCCAGCACUGUGCCAGGCUGGCGGCCCCCCAGCCAGAGGACCUGGGGGCUCAGCAUGAAGCCAGGUGCGGGCCUGGGCUCGAGCUGGGCGAGAAAGAGACACAAGCUAGCCCGGCCCCUGCCCUUGGGGGGUGACAUAAUCCUUUCCUUCUGGGGAACACCCCAUCUGGUGGGGUGACGGCUCUUGCUUGCAGGCACCACCCAGUCUAACGAGAGCUCUGUCUUUCCUCCUCAGCGAGUCCGGUGGAGACACGGGCAUGCCCUGUCUGACGGAGGCCAUCGUGGUCGUGGGCUCACAAGGCAGGUUUGCCAGGUGAAGGCUCAUCAGCGUGUCCACCCAGGGGACGCCCUGGCUUCCUCCCAAAGUGGGCGGACCAGUCUGACCGUCAUUCAGUUCUCCUGCCCAGACUGGGCUGUGCUCACUGGCCGGUGAGGUCCCCGAGGUGAAAGGUCCCGGGUGGACUGCCUUUCUCCCCUGGCUGCUUGGCCUUCAGUCCCCGAAGCUAAGGAAAA